UGGGGAAUAUUGGACAAUGGGCGCAAGCCUGAUCCAGCCAUGCCGCGUGUGUGAAGAAGGCCUUCGGGUUGUAAAGCACUUUCAGCGAGGAGGAAGGGUUAGUAGUUAAUAGCUGCUAAUUUUGACGUUACUCGCAGAAGAAGCACCGGCUAACUCUGUGCCAGCAGCCGCGGUAAUACAGAGGGUGCAAGCGUUAAUCGGAAUUACUGGGCGUAAAGCGCACGUAGGCGGUUUUUUAAGUCAGAUGUGAAAGCCCCGGGCUCAACCUGGGAAUUGCAUUUGAAACUGGAAAACUAGAGUGUGUGAGAGGGGGGUAGAAUUCCAAGUGUAGCGGUGAAAUGCGUAGAGAUUUGGAGGAAUACCAGUGGCGAAGGCGGCCCCCUGG
rnacentral:rRNA from 1 species